rnacentral:lncRNA from 1 species
GUAAAGCACAAGAGGGCCCUUACACGGGGCGCGUCAACUUGAGAGUUGACCGGAUAAGCAUCCGGUGCUACGUGUCACCCACGUGGCACACCUAUUCGUGACCCAGCAAGCCUACAUGUAGACUAGACCUCCACGCGGGCCACGUAAGGUUCAAGCUAGGGUUCACGUGGGCCGCGUGAGACCCAAAUUUCACCUAUAAAUAGAAAUGGCCAUGAGCAGUCCACUGAUGUCGAAACCAUUUCACAAAAAACGAAGUUACAAGGCUAAUCAGUAGGCUAAACUCUGCCCGUUUAAACCUGCAAUGUAAUUACAGUAGAUCGGAAUAAGAGUUGGAUACGGCACCAAAAGGCUUACAGAAGUGGCUUGAUUUAGUAAUUAAGUUUAAUUAAGAAAAGUUGUUUUAUGUAUUCGGGUUUAUCCCAUAUGAAAAGCUACCUUUGUAAAACAUCGGUUUUUAUCCCAUCUAUUUAAUAAAUAAAAAUCCGGUGUUUUCUAAACUCUGAUAUUUUUU